UACGUAGGCAGCAAGCGUUGUUCGGAGUUACUGGGCGUAAAGGGUGUGUAGGCGGUUCUUUAAGUUUGGUGUGAAAUCUCCCGGCUCAACUUGUAGUCUGCAUGAGAAACUGCCGGGCUUGAGUGUGGGAGAGGUGAGUGGAAUUCCUGGUGUAGCGGUGAAAUGCGUAGAUAUCAGGAGGAACACCUGUGGCGAAAGCGGCUCACUGGACCAUAACUGACGCUGAUGCACGAAAGCUAGGGGAGCAAACAGG
rnacentral:rRNA from 1 species